rnacentral:rRNA from 1 species
UGAGUAACCUGCCCUUAACUCUGGGAUAAGCCUGGGAAACUGGGUCUAAUACCGGAUAUGACUCCUCAUCGCAUGGUGGGGGGUGAAAGCUUUUUGUGGUUUUGGAUGGACUCGCGGCCUAUCAGCUUGUUGGUGAGGUAAUGGCUCACCAAGGCGACGACGGGUANCUGGUCUGAGAGGAUGGCCAGCCACAUUGGGACUGAGACACGGCCCAGACCUCCGUACGGGAG